CUCUUAAUUAACAGCUCAGAAUAUUUCCUUUUCUGGAAACACAAAUAUGGCGGCCUAAAUGGGUUAUGACGUCAUCAUUCAAGCCCCUCGCCUUUUACCGCCGGGAAGAUAUAUUUUUCGCUUUAAAAGCUUUUUCCCGUCGAUUUUUGCAAUUUUAAAGCAGCCAGUGUCUUUCCAAGAUAUCUCGUGCAAGGCUUUGAAGCGAUGGAGUAAAAAUAUGGAAGAUGCUACAAGAUGUUGCCCGCAGCAGUGUUUGGGUGUGACUAGACUUGAAAACGCAUGCUACAUAUCAAUAUUGAUGAAGAUUUACCAAGGUUGGACUCCACUGUCUUGGACUGGACCCGCAUUUUGUCUAGGAUUUCUCCGAGUUGCGCCACCUUGUUCUGUUUGGAUGGCUUUGGCAAGACUUCGCUUACCUGAUGAUGUAAAAUUACAAGCAUUUUGAAUAAGAGAGAAAAAAAAUGAACAAGUGAAAAUUGUCUCUCAAAGAUCUAAAAAAAGCACUGAACAUCCCUUUCUUUCAGGAUUAGAUAAGGGUAUAGCCAGGUUUGCUGGGGCGAGGGUAGAGAUGAAUAGAGAUAAAUAUAUUAACACAAAAAUACUUGGGGAGGGCAGAGUAGGGCAUUAAUAUCUUAAUGCAAAAAGACAAUACACCAAAAACUGGAAUUCGACUCUUCAGGGCAGAGUCUGCCCUGAAGAAGUCUUAUUAAAGACGAAAAUUUGGCAGAAUCGAAUUCCAGUUUUUGGUGUAUUGUAUUUAUUGUUAUGGUACGAGAUCACGACAAUUUGGGCUUUUUGAUUCUAUUAACGCAAAAAGACUAUACAAGGGUGAAGUAGGUAUAUCUUAAUGCAAAAAGACUAUGCAAGGGUGUAGGUAUAAAUAUCUUAAUGGAAAAAAAACUAUGCCAGGGUGAAUAAUGCUAAAAGACUUUGCAAGGGUG